GGGGGGGGGGCAAGCGUUGUUCGGAAUUACUGGGGCGUAAAGGGGCGCGCAGGCGGCCUGGGCAAGUCCUUCGUGAAAUCCCACAGCUCAACUGUGGAACUGCGGAGGAUACUGCUAGGCUUGAGUCCGGGAGAGGGGAGUGGAAUUCCCAGUGUAGCGGUGAAAUGCGUAGAUAUUGGGAGGAACACCAGUGGCGAAGGCGGCUCCCUGGACCGGUACUGACGCUGAGGCGCGAAAGCUAGGGGAGCAAACGGGAUUAGAUACCCCGGUAGUCCUAGCUGUAAACGUUGAGCACUUGGUGUGGCGGGUGUCGACCCCUGCCGUGCCGAAGCUAACGCAUUAAGUGCUCCGCCUGGGGAGUACGGUCGCAAAGGCUG
rnacentral:rRNA from 1 species